AAAGGAAAAAAUGACAUCUGCCAUUCAGAAGAUGGUUUUCAACUUGCCCAGGAAAUUGACUACAACUUGUAAACUGUCAGUGUAAAUCCAAACGCACAUACAAGACAAAUAUCCACAACUGCAAGUGACAACAGUUACAGGCUAUACAAAAAUCAGUGCCAAUAACGAUCAUGGGGACUGAGCCAUUUGAAGUUGGAUGAAAGAUGAUCUGCAUCAUUGUGUUUAUGAUAAUGUGGAAAAGUACCAAUUGUUUUGAGAAUUGGUUCCACAGAUGUCAGUGAAAGAGACUUACGACUUAAUGUACAUGUUUUUGAACAGAACUAUUAAAAAGAAAAAUGGUGCAAAAUCAAUUGAAUCUGGUCACAAGAGAGAUGGAGACCUCGAGAGACAGAAAAAGAACAGACCAGGGAAUCACAGAUCCAUAUCAGAUAAUAAAAUUAAAUUGAAAAUUUAAAGUUUGAAUUUUAUGUUAU